CAGCAGCCGCGGUAAUACGGAGGGUGCAAGCGUUAAUCGGAAUUACUGGGCGUAAAGCGCACGCAGGCGGUCUGUCAAGUCAGAUGUGAAAUCCCCGGGCUUAACCUGGGAACUGCAUUUGAAACUGGCAGGCUAGAGUCUUGUAGAGGGGGGUAGAAUUCCAGGUGUAGCGGUGAAAUGCGUAGAGAUCUGGAGGAAUACCGGUGGCGAAGGCGGCCCCCUGGACAAAGACUGACGCUCAGGUGCGAAAGCGUGGGGAGCAAACAGGAUUAGAUACCCCUGUAGUCCCUGUCUCUUAUAC
rnacentral:rRNA from 1 species